GCGCCCGUAGCUCAGUUGGAUAGAGCACCAGCCUUCUAAGCUGGCGGUCGCAGGUUCGACUCCUGCCGGGCGCGCCA
rnacentral:tRNA from 5 species